UCCCCCAUCUCUAGACAGUGCGUACACCAUUCUGCUUCAGGAUGAGAGACAAAGACAAGUUACAUCAUCACCCUCUCAAUUCUGUAGUGACUCCAGUGCUUUCAACACUUAUUUCACCAACAAAUUCCCUGGCACACCUGCCCAUUCUAAACAAUUCAAUCAAAGAGUCAGCUUUGAUCUCAACAAGACAAACUUAGUGUGUAGAUAUUGCAAGAAACCUGGUCAUAUGAUUGACAAGUGCUGGCACACCUGCCCAUUCUAAACAAUUCAAUCAAAGAGUCAGCUUUGAUCUCAACAAGACAAACUUAGUGUGUAGAUAUUGCAAGAAACCUAGUCAUAUGAUUGAAAAGUGCUAAAAACUCCAUGGAUUCUCACCAGACUUCAAAUUUAAAAGAAGCAAGAGGACUGCAGCAAAUGUUGAGGUGCAGGGAUGUCUGAACUCUGUUGGGUCUCCAAACAAUGCUGAUAGUACUCAGGGGUCCUCUGAAUCAGAAUUUUUGAUUCCUGGUUUAACCAAGGAUCAAUAUUAAAAAUCAUGUUACUGCUUCAACAGAUACAAAUUUCAGAGUCUCAAAAACAAUCCCGUCGUAUG
rnacentral:lncRNA from 1 species